rnacentral:lncRNA from 1 species
CGAGGCCCAGGCGGCGGCGCGGCAGGUCGGGGACCCAGGGAUGGGCAGAGGGAAGCGAGGGGCGCUGGGCAGGACGCGAGGAAGAGGAAGAACUGAGGACUGGCUAGGGUGAGGCAGGGCUGCUCAGACUGGAAGGGCCCCUGAGAGGGGGGCCUUGGACAUGACGCCGGACAAAGCCUCAGAUGCUGGGACUGGAGAGCCUGGUGGGGGACUGGGAGCGCAGGGACCUGGGGAGAGGAGGCGGCAGAGGCAGGAGGGGACAAUGGCAAGGCCUGGGUGAAGCAGGACCCGGAAGGAGACUGGGACAGACUGGGAGAAUGGACCAUCCACCCACGAAGGCAGAGUGGAGCAGGGAGCAGAAGUGACUAGAAGGGGACUCGGACUAUUCAGAGGUGACAUUUGGACAAAAGGAUGGGCAAGUAUGGAGAGAACUCAGGGUAGUGGAAGCUGCUGUAUCAGGAAGCAACUGGCUGUUUGGGACAGGGAGGUUGGGGCAUCUAACCGGUCCUCAGCCCAGCUCCUGCCUCCCCGGCAGGAAUCUUUUUGUACAGCUUCCGCACAGAAGGCCCUGGGGACAGAAGGCCUCUUUCUCUUCUCCUCGCUGGAUACUGACCACGAUAUGCGUCUCAGCCCCGAGGAGUUCAAACCCAUCGCAGAGAAGCUGACAGGGUCAACACCUGUGGCCACCUAUGAGGAGGAGGAGCUGCCCUCCGACCCCAGUGAAGAGACCCUCACCAUAGAAGCCCGAUUCCAGCCUCUGCUCCCUGAGACCAUGACAAAGAGCAAAGAUGGCUUCCUAGGGGUCUCCCGCCUCGCGCUGUCUGGUCUUCGCAACUGGACAACUGCAGCUUCACCAAGUGCAGUGUUUGCUGCCCGCCACUUCCAGCCCUUCCUCCCACCUCGGGGCCAGGAACUGGGAGAGCCCUGGUGGAUCAUCCCCAGUGAGCUGAGUGUCUUCACGGGUUAUUUGUCCAACAACCGCUUCUACCCACCACCGCCCAAGGGCAAGGAGGUCAUCAUCCACCGGCUGCUAAGCAUGUUUCACCCUCGGCCCUUUGUGAAGACCCGCUUUGCCCCUCAAGGGGCUGUGGCCUGCCUGACUGCUGUCAGUGACUCCUACUACACUGUGAUGUUCCGGAUCCAUGCUGAGUUCCAGCUCAGUGAGCCCCCUGACUUCCCCUUCUGGUUCUCCCCGGGCCAGUUCACCGGCCACAUCAUCCUGUCAAAGGAUGCCACCCACAUCCGUGACUUCCGGCUCUUCGUGCCCAAUCACAGGUCUCUGAAUGUGGACAUGGAGUGGCUGUACGGGGCCAGUGAGAGCAGCAGCAUGGAGGUUGACAUCGGCUAUAUACCCCAGAUGGAGCUGGAGGCCACAGGCCCUUCCGUGCCCUCCGUGAUCCUGGACGAAGAUGGUAAUCUGAUUGACAGUCGCCUGCCCUCGGGGGAGCCCCUCCAGUUUGUGUUUGAGGAGAUCAGGUGGCAGCAGGAGCUGAGCUGGGAGGAGGCUGCCCGGCGCCUGGAGGUGGCCAUGUACCCCUUCAAGAAGGUCACCUACCUGCCAUUCAUUGAGGCCUUCGACCGAGCCAAGGCCGAGAACAAGCUGGUGCACUCGAUCCUGCUGUGGGGGGCCCUGGACGACCAGUCCUGCUGA